AAACCAAAACAAUGACUUUCUACACUCGUUGCCUUCAAGACUUACCCCGUGUCACUAUCAACGAUGUACACCGUCUUAUUAAGGCCUACUCAACCACGGCAUCAAGCAAAAAAGAAAAAGGAUUUAAGCUGUACAUAACCAGCUAUAUUCAUGACUAUGAAGAUUGUUCUCAAAGCCUGUUGAACUGCUGGCAUGCCAGUGCUCAUGUGUGGCAGGGCUUGCGCUAUGCAAUCACAUUGCAGCAUUGCUGUACCAAACCUCACAUUACAGCCAACAGGGAGCAAUAGCUUUCCCCCCUACUCACAGCUGUACAGGGUCUAAGCAACAAUGGCACAAACCCAGGACCCAGGGUUUCAAGCCUGGUCCAACAAAUGAGAUGGUAGUGUUGUCAGCUCGGCCCAAGGAGAGAAGAGUGGCUGAAGGAAUCAGGAGUAACUUAUACAAAGGAGCCUGUAACCUGACCUGUGACCUUCCAGACAUGUCAGUCCUUCGGUUGAAUGACAUCUACCAAGGCAUUCCAAGGGAAACUGCUCCACUAAUAACAACCAUGGGAAUAGCAGGGGGUGUACCAUUAGUAGACAGUGCCUUUGGAAAAGUCCAAGAAGGUAGUGUUCUCUCCUACCAUCUUCCAGCAUGGACUCCACCAAUGACACAUCUACAUGCGACUGCACCACCACAACCAUCCUUACCUCUUGAUGGUUACUCUUUGGGGCCCUCGUAGUGUUGUUUUGUGCUUAACUACCAUCAGCAGCUGCACAUGAAAUCUCUUGAAACAUCAGAGAUCAUGGCGCACCAACUUGAGGAAAGCACAAGACAACAGAGCACACUGAAGGAAUGGCAUCUUCUAAGAAAGCCACGUUGUUUAAAUACUUAGACCAAGUUGUGUGUGUUCAUGCAUUUCUAGAGAGGUUUGCCAUGUGAGAGGACAGUCCUCAGCGGAGAACCUGGCACUCAGGAUUUUAGGGCCAGGUUAUCAGACUGCAGAAAUGAAGAGGGGUCUUCAGAUGGAGCCCAAGGCUGUGGAAGAAUACUAUAUUAGAAUAUAUAAGAAGGAUGUAAACCACUAUCCUUGCGGUUUCAUCAUCCACCCAGAUGCACCAUGGCUCGGGUCAUCACCAGAUGGGUUGGUAUACGACCCGAAUGCUGAGCCUGCGUUUGGACUGCUGGAGGUGAAGUGUCCUAAUGUGAGAAGCUAUGUAGACUGUACGUACCUUAGGGUCUCAGAUGGAGUGCUACAGCUAAAACCAUCUCACACGUACUACUGGCAGGUACAGGGACAACUGCUCAUUACUGGUCUGGAAUGGUGUGAUUUUGUUGUCUAUGCAGAAGAUGGCAUGUUCAUUCAAAGAAUAUAUAGGGAUGGCAGAAUCAUGAAAACAAUGAAAGAAAAGGUUGAUUUCUUCUAUUUUUACUUUUAUCUACCUAUGCUUUUGGCUUGAAAAAAAUCAUGCCAUUGACAGUACUUGUUUCAAUCAGUUUUAAUCAGUUAGUAUUUAUUUUAGGUUUUAGUGUUAAUUUGAUCAUCCAUUUCAAAAACUAAUUUAUCCCAGUGUCUAUUAAACUCCUAAAUAGCCAUAAGUAAAAUGAAGAUCAGGCCUGCAUAGAUAGAGAUACUUUAUUAAUCCCGAAGGAAAUUAAGGUGUCUAAUAUCUUAUACAAAUACACAUAGGCACACAGACAUAUGAAAUCCACGUACACAUACAUAUUACAGAAAUACAAAGGAAGAUAUCUAUAGUGUGCCCUCUCAGUAAAAUUAGAUUGUAGCAUGUUUAAAUGAGCGGUGUGCAAAAAAAGCAGAAAGGUGCAAUGGUAACGUAGUGCAAGAGAGUGCCAGUGCCAACAGUAUCACUCCAGUCCAGGGUAGUUUUUGACGAUGGAGAUUUGUAAUUGUUGUACUUGUGAACUCUCUUUUUUAAUUUAUUUAUUUUAAGUAAUGUUUAACUGAUGCAUUGCAUGACACAAUGUUUGGUUUUAUACACCAUCAGGACCAUUGUACACUCUGUUGUAUGGUGUUGUACAGUAUCUGAUGUUUGUACAUGCUGUCUGAAAUGAUGGACAUAUUUUUUUCCACUGACUGAAAUGUAUUUAAAUUGUUGACUGUAGAACAUGUCACCUUCAAUUACAUAUUUUCUUAUGUUUAUUUGUAUCUAAACACAGUAUUGUGUAAGUGCUGCUUGUAAUGACCACAGUAAAAUACACGU